UCAAGUCACACAGCUCACGGUGCCUGCCUGACGGUGGUGAGCGGAGAGCCAGCAUGUGCUCAGGGGGACACAUACUGAAAGCUCUCCUCUUCCUUUUGGAUGUUGGAGUAGUUCAAGUUUUGGCCACAGGCAAGUCUGCAGGGCCUGAGAUUGAUUUCAAAUACGCUGUCAUUGGAACUGCCUUGGGUAUUGUCAUAUCGGCUGGCUUCCUGGUGUUGAAGAUCUGCAUGAUCAGAAAGCACCUGUCUGAUAACAACUCUUCAGAGCUCAAGAGCACCCCGCUGUGCACCAGUGACACCAUCAUGUGCAAGAAGAGAACCUCCAGUCUCUUACAUAGCUUGGGAUGAGAGGAAGGUACCACUGUACCCAGCCAUGGGUUGAGAAGGAUUCUGAAGAACUGUUCUGACUGAUCCUCCCCUUUCCAGGCUUCCAAAGAUGACCAGGUGAUUGAGCUGUGAGCAGAGCAUUGGCUGUCUGGACAAUUUGCCCACAGGUACAACCUCCGCAAUUCUUUGAAUCUGGAUGCCUAAGGUAGACAAUGGACCUUCGGUGGACUCAGUGUGAGAAACAAAUUGUGAAAGGACUAGAAUCAACAGUGCCUUUUCCUCUUCAGCAAGGCUAACUGCUCAGAGCUAACAGGCAAAGAUGGAAGCCAGUCAAUUCCUAUCAUCCAACGCAGGCCCCCUCCCAAUAAGGGAGCUCUUCAUGCUUCCUAUGGUGGUGUUGUCUCCAGGCCUGGUAAAGAGAGCUCAGGGCCCAGUUUCCUCAGCCCCACCAUUUCAACAGUUAAGACAAAUUUUCUAGAACUCGGCCUCAUCAUUUUAGCUGCCACAUUAAAGCCAUCCUGUAUGAACAUCCAGAAAAAUGUUGAGAUAAUGGUAAGUCAGUUAUAAGGGCCAUCAAUGGAAGACUGACUUACUAGAAAGAGAAAGGUCCUGGGCAGCUGUGGGCUGAGACUGGCAGCUGUGUGGAUCUUCAAAUAAAAGGGGCAGCAGGGGCUGGGAAUGUGGCUUAGUGGUAGAGUGAUUGCCUAACAUGCAUGAAGGCCUGGGUUCGG